UAAGGUUAAGUUAGUAAGGGCGCACGGUGGAUGCCUUGGCACUAGGAGCCGAAGAAGGACGUGACAAACGACGAAAUGCCUUGGGGAGCUGUAAGUAAGCGUAGAUCCAGGGAUGUCCGAAUGGGGGAACCCAACAGGUAGAUGCCUGUUACCCGUAUCUAUUAAGGAUAUGAGGAGGAAGACGCAGUGAACUGAAACAUCUAAGUAGCUGCAGGAAGAGAAAGCAAAAGCGAUUGCCUGAGUAGCGGCGAGCGAAAGGGCAAGAGGGCAAACCGAGAAGUUUACUUCUCGGGGUUGUAGGACUGCGAUGUGGACUUAAAGAUUAUAGAAGAAGACCUUGGGAAAGGUUGCCAGAGAGAGUAAGAGCCUCGUAUUUUAAAUAGUCUUUAUACCUAGCAGGAUCCUGAGUACGGCGGGACACGAGGAAUCCCGUCGGAAUCUGGGAGGACCAUCUCCCAACCCUAAAUACUCCCUAGUGACCGAUAGUGAACCAGUACCGUGAGGGAAAGGUGAAAAGCACCCCGGGAGGGGAGUGAAAGAGAACCUGAAACCGUGUGCCUACAACAAGUUCGAGCCCGUUAAUGGGUGAGAGCGUGCCUUUUGUAGAAUGAACCGGCGAGUUACGUUAUGAUGCGAGGUUAAGUUGAAGAGACGGAGCCGUAGGGAAACCGAGUCUGAAGAGGGCGCCAUAGUAUCAUGAUGUAGACCCGAAACCAUGUGACCUACCCAUGAGCAGGUUGAAGGGGAGGUAAAACUCACUGGAGGACCGCACCAGGGCACGUUGAAAAGUGCUUGGAUGACUUGUGGGUAGCGGAGAAAUUCCAAACGAACUUGGAGAUAGCUGGUUCUCUCCGAAAUAGCUUUAGGGCUAGCGUCGACAGAAAGAUUCUUGGAGGUAGAGCACUGUUUGGGUGAGGGGUCCAUCCCGGAUUACCAAUCUCAGAUAAACUCCGAAUGCCAAAGAAUUAUGGUCGGCAGUCAGACUGCGAGUGCUAAGAUCCGUAGUCGAAAGGGAAACAGCCCAGACCACCAGCUAAGGUCCCAAAAUAAUUGUUAAGUGGAAAAGGAUGUGGGGUUGCACAGACAACUAGGAUGUUAGCUUAGAAGCAGCUAUUCAUUCAAAGAGUGCGUAAUAGCUCACUAGUCGAGUGACCCUGCGCCGAAAAUGUACCGGGGCUAAAACAAUUUACCGAAGCUGUGGAUCCUUUAGGGGAUGGUAGGAGAGCGUUCUAUGUGUGGUGAAGGUGUACCGUGAGGAGCGCUGGAACGCAUAGAAGUGAGAAUGCCGGUAUGAGUAGCGCAAGACAGGUGAGAAUCCUGUCCACCGUAAGACUAAGGUUUCCAGGGGAAGGCUCGUCCGCCCUGGGUUAGUCGGGACCUAAGGAGAGACCGAAAGGUGUAUCCGAUGGCCAACAGGUAGAGAUUCCUGUACUAGAGUAUAGAGUGAAGGAGGGACGCAGUAGGCUAACUCAAGCGUGCGAAUGGAAGAGCACGUCUAAGCAGUGAGGUGUGAUAGGAGUCAAAUGCUUCUAUCUGUAACAUUGAGCUGUGAUGGGGAGCGAAGUUUAGUAGCGAAGUGAGUGACGUCACACUGCCAAGAAAAGCUUCUAGCGUUAAUUUAUACUCUACCCGUACCGCAAACCGACACAGGUAGUCGAGGCGAGUAGCCUCAGGUGAUCGAGAGAACUCUCGUUAAGGAACUCGGCAAAAUGACCCCGUAACUUCGGGAGAAGGGGUGCUCAGUGUAACUGAGCCGCAGUGAAUAGGCCCAAGCAACUGUUUAUCAAAAACACAGCUCUCUGCUAAAUCGUAAGAUGAUGUAUAGGGGGUGACGCCUGCCCGGUGCUGGAAGGUUAAGAGGAGUGCUUAGACGUAAGUCGAAGGUAUGAAUUGAAGCCCCAGUAAACGGCGGCCGUAACUAUAACGGUCCU
rnacentral:rRNA from 1 species